GGAUUUAUUGGGCGUAAAGCGAGCGCAGGCGGAAAAAUAAGUCUAAUGUGAAAGCCCUCGGCUUAACCGAGGAACUGCAUCGGAAACUGUUUUUCUUGAGUGCAGAAGAGGAGAGUGGAACUCCACGUGUAGCGGUGGAAUGCGUAGAUAUAUGGAAGAACACCAGUGGCGAAGGCGGCUCUCUGGUCUGCAACUGACGCUGAGGCCCGAAAGCAUGGGUAGCGAACAGGAUUAGAUACCCUGGUAGUCCAUGCCGUAAACGAUGAGUGCUAAGUGUUGGGAGGUUUCCGCCUCUCAGUGCUGCAGCUAACGCAUUAAGCACUCCGCCUGGGGAGUACGACCGCAAGGUUGAAACUCAAAGGAAUUGACGGGGGCCCGCACAAGCGGUGGAGCAUGUGGUUUAAUUCGAAGCAACGCGAAGAACCUUACCAGGUCUUGACAUCUAGUGCAAUCUGUAGAGAUACGGAGUUCCCUUCGGGGACGCUAAGACAGGUGGUGCAUGGCUGUCGUCAGCUCGUGUCGUGAGAUGUUGGGUUAAGUCCCGCAACGAGCGCAACCCUUGUUAUUAGUUGCCAGCAUUAAGUUGGGCACUCUAAUGAGACUGCCGGUGACAAACCGGAGGAAGGUGGGGAUGACGUCAAGUCAUCAUGCCCCUUAUGACCUGGGCUACACACGUGCUACAAUGGGCAGUACAACGAGAAGCAAGCCUGCGAAGGCAAGCGAAUCUCUGAAAGCUGUUCUCAGUUCGGACUGCAGUCUGCAACUCGACUGCACGAAGCUGGAAUCGCUAGUAAUCGCGGAUCAGCACGCCGCGGUGAUACGUUCCCGG
rnacentral:rRNA from 1 species